rnacentral:rRNA from 1 species
GACGAACGCUGGCGGCGUGCCUAAUACAUUCAAGUCGACCUUAGUGGCGAACGGCUUAGUAACACGUUGGUAACCUGCCCCUCAGAAGGGGAUAACCCUUGGAAACAGGUGCUCAUACCGUAUACUGAUGGAUGGAGCCGCGGUGCAUUAGCGCGUUGGUGAGGUAACGGCUGACCAAGGCAACGAUGCAUAGCCGACCUGAGAGGGGGAUCGGCAACAGGGUGACUAGGAAACGGCCUAAACUCUUACGGGAGGCAGCAGUAGGGAAUCUUAGGCAAUGGACGAAAGUCUGACCGAGCAACGCCGCGUGAGUGAAGAAGGUCUUCGGAUCGUAAAUCGCGGUUGUGAGAGAAGCGGUAUCUAACCAUAAAGCCACGGCUAACUACGUGCCAGCAGCCGCGGUAAUAC